CCAGCGUCCUCUGCUCCUUCUUCAAAGGACCGCUACCUGAGAGGCAGCAGUAGGUGACGGUGAAAGCAGCGGAGCAGAGGAGAAGAUGAGUGCAAUGCUUCAGUCUGGCAGUAAACAGUGAGAGAGGGAUGACAAAAGAAAAGCAGACGAAGAGACAGACAAGAAAGACAGAGGAGGACGGCUCAGGUGGGGGUGGAAUCAUCAAUAACAACGACAGGGCUGACUAAUCCUGGCAGCAGGGGUCUGAAGGCUGACUCAACAUACCCUGAACUGCAUCCCAUCCGAGAUUUAAAACAAUUUCCUCAAAUAAGAACAAUGCUAAAUCGUCUGUGGAUGAGGAUGGGCAGCACAGCAAUAGUGUUCGGGGAGCUGGGCCUGUAAGCAUCUUCCCCUGUCUGACCUGUCUUACUUGCUCAUCUCUGCGCUUAACUGACGGGUGACUACGGCCAGGGACCACUGUUAAAUGUUAGGAGAGUUUCUAUCAGUGCCUGGCAGACCUGUAUCAUAAUGUCCUUUCUGACAUGAAACUCCCUGAGCAUUCACAAGGAAGAAGUGUCUACUGUGAAUCGACGAAUACGGUUUUUCACUGGGCCUCAAAAGGAGAGGUCGGGUCGGUCUCGGUGCCUUGGCAUUUAAAGCUGGACAGGUGCUCCACCUCCAGGAUGUUGCUCUUAAUGGGCAUAGA